rnacentral:rRNA from 1 species
CCUACGGGUGGCAGCAGUGAGGAAUAUUGGUCAAUGGGCGGGAGCCUGAACCAGCCAAGUAGCGUGAAGGAUGACUGCCCUACGGGUUGUAAACUUCUUUUAUAAAGGAAUAAAGUGAGGCACGUGUGCCUGUUUGCAUGUACUUUAUGAAUAAGGAUCGGCUAACUCCGUGCCAGCAGCCGCGGUAAUACGGAGGAUCCGAGGGUUAUCCGGAUUUAUUGGGUUUAAAGGGAGCGUAGAUGGGUUGUUAAAUCAGUUGGGAAAGGUUGCGGCUCAACCGUAAAAUUGCAAUUGAUACUGGCAGCCUUGAGUAGAGUUGAGGUAGGCGGAAUUCGUGGUGUAGCGGUGAAAUGCUUAGAUAUAACGAAGAACUCCGAUUGCGAAGGCAGCCUACUAAACUGGAACUGACACUGAGGCUCGAAAGUGUGGGUAUCAAACAGGAUUAGAUACCCCUGUAGUC